rnacentral:tRNA from 2 species
GCCCAGAUGGCGGAAUUGGUAGACGCGCCAGAUUCAGGUUCUGGUGGGUAACACUGUGGAGGUUCGAGUCCUCUUCUGGGCACCA